UAUACGGAACGCAAAAAACGUUCGUGUGAACGAGCCCUUAGUCAAGGGGGCCCAAGGGCCACCAUUAUUAUAAAUAGGACUUGGUAGGUGGGUGCCCUAUUAAAGAUUUUUCAUUUUCACACAGGAGCUUUAAAGGUGUUUUCCAGUUUGCAUCAUUUCUGACGAUAGCAGUAACUUUGUAAUGUAUUUCUUAUACAGUUAUUACUGCUUAUCUCCCGUUC